GAUGAACGCUGACAGAAUGCUUAACACAUGCAAGUCAACUUGAACUUCGGUUUGGGUGGCGGACGGGUGAGUAACGCGUAAAGAACUUGCCUCACAGCUAGGGACAACAUUUGGAAACGAAUGCUAAUACCUGAUAUUAUGAUUAUAUGGCAUCGUAUAAUUAUGAAAGCUAUCUGCGCUGUGAGAGAGCUUUGCGUCCCAUUAGCUAGUUGGAGAGGUAACAGCUCACCAAGGCGAUGAUGGGUAGCCGGCCUGAGAGGGUGAUCGGCCACAAGGGGACUGAGACACGGCCCUUACUCCUACGGGAGGCAGCAGUGGGGAAUAUUGGACAAUGGACCGAGAGUCUGAUCCAGCAAUUCUGUGUGCACGAUGAAGUUUUUCGGAAUGUAAAGUGCUUUCAGUUGGGAAGAAAAAAAUGACGGUACCAACAGAAGAAGUGACGGCUAAAUACGUG
rnacentral:rRNA from 1 species